rnacentral:rRNA from 1 species
AUGCAAGUCGAACGAUGAACCCGGAGCUUGCUCCGGCGGAUUAGUGGCGAACGGGUGAGUAACACGUGAGUAACCUGCCCUUGACUCUGGGAUAAGCGUUGGAAACGACGUCUAAUACCGGAUACGACGCGCGAAGGCAUCUUCUGCGCGUGGAAAGAAUUUCGGUCAAGGAUGGACUCGCGGCCUAUCAGCUAGUUGGUGAGGUAACGGCCCACCAAGGCGACGACGGGUAGCCGGCCUGAGAGGGUGACCGGCCACACUGGGACUGAGACACGGCCCAGACUCCUACGGGAGGCAGCAGUGGGGAAUAUUGCACAAUGGGCGCAAGCCUGAUGCAGCAACGCCGCGUGAGGGACGACGGCCUUCGGGUUGUAAACCUCUUUUAGUAGGGAAGAAGCGAAAGUGACGGUACCUGCAGAAAAAGCACCGGCUAACUACGUGCCAGCAGCCGCGGUAAUACGUAGGGUGCAAGCGUUAUCCGGAAUUAUUGGGCGUAAAGAGCUCGUAGGCGGUUUGUCACGUCUGCUGUGAAAACUGGAGGCUCAACCUCCAGCCUGCAGUGGGUACGGGCAGACUAGAGUGCGGUAGGGGAGAUUGGAAUUCCUGGUGUAGCGGUGGAAUGCGCAGAUAUCAGGAGGAACACCGAUGGCGAAGGCAGAUCUCUGGGCCGUAACUGACGCUGAGGAGCGAAAGCAUGGGGAGCGAACAGGAUUAGAUACCCUGGUAGUCCAUGCCGUAAACGUUGGGAACUAGAUGUAGGGACCAUUCCACGGUUUCUGUGUCGCAGCUAACGCAUUAAGUUCCCCGCCUGGGGAGUACGGCCGCAAGGCUAAAACUCAAAGGAAUUGACGGGGGCCCGCACAAGCGGCGGAGCAUGCGGAUUAAUUCGAUGCAACGCGAAGAACCUUACCAAGGCUUGACAUAUACGAGAACGGGCCAGAAAUGGUCAACUCUUUGGACACUCGUAAACAGGUGGUGCAUGGUUGUCGUCAGCUCGUGUCGUGAGAUGUUGGGUUAAGUCCCGCAACGAGCGCAACCCUCGUUCUAUGUUGCCAGCACGUAAUGGUGGGAACUCAUAGGAGACUGCCGGGUCAACUCGGAGGAAGGUGGGGAUGACGUCA